CAUUUGUAACAUUAUAGGUUUUUUAUUUGUAUUCUAUACUACGACUAAAGUGGUUGUGCAAAAAUGGAACACAUUGAGAAAGACGCGGUAGCUCGAGCUAGGAGUUGGUUGUCUCCCUGGGAACAGACGCUACCUAUUGUUGUUCAGUACGGCUUCGG